AUUUUGAGCAAAUGUUUCUCUCUUUUCCCCGUUUUCCCCCACCCCCACCCCAGUCAUACACGUGGACCUAACCGCACCAAAAGCUUUUCUAAGGAUAUUUUGCUGCGAAGGAAGUUUACUGGAAUGGUAUUUGCUAAUUGGAAGCCAGAAGAAAAGGAAAUGUUUUGCCACUUGGAUGUGAAGAUUUCCUCUAAAAGGGAUGAUGACAUACAUACCAACAAAAAUGUAAAUAUAUAAACUUUGACAUUAACCAUCUUGAGGUACAGAUGAGUCAAUAAUUGAUCUGGGUGAAACUGUUUUGGCAUUCCUCCCACAGUGCUUUAAUCAAGUUGUAAUUUGGAGUUGGUGUUGCUUCAAGCCUUAAAACUUU
rnacentral:lncRNA from 1 species